AUUAACGAGUGUGAAGUGGAAAUACGUUGAACUAGUCGCGGGAAAGCGGGCGUUUUGAACGCGUUGAAUCUGCGCGAUAGAUUUACGUGGACGCUAAAUACAAGAUGGACAUGGAGGAGCAACGCUGGGGAAGGUUGUUAAAACUGAAUUGGGACACGCGCUGAAAGCCCAAAUGAUUUGGUUUCGAAACGAACUGCGGUUUUAUUUUUCAUUUAAACGUUUAUUCCGGAAUGCAUCUCGAGCCUUGCACGUAAUGUGCACGUAAAAUGAACUUUGUCUAGGGUUUGCCUUAUAUAAACAACAACAAAAAAAAAAAAUAAUAAAGUGUUGAUUAUUGCGUUAAGCGUCUAACGUUAGUUUAUAUGUCAUGUACUUAUAGUAGGUGUUAUACAUGUAUCAAUCCAUUCCACCAUUCCCAACAUUGUUUGAUAUUCUGCGGUGCUUGGGCAAUUGGCUGGUUAACAGCAGUUCCCUCUCUAGCCAAUCAGAGUGAAGCACCAUGGUAGAUUCAGCUAUUAGAAGCACAGCCUUCAGUUCUUCCUACAGAGAGCAGAAAGAAGGCUGAAUGCAGGCGCAGCCAUUUUCUCCUACAUUGGGACUCAAUGGCCAAAAUGGGUUUCCUUUGUUCCUAAAGGGAUCUAAAUCUUGAUUUCAUCAGCCUUUUAUGGACUAUUUAAUACAUACAAUGUUUCUGUUUACAGGAUCUGAGAAGAAGGAAGAUGAAAUGUUGGAUGAUAUCCCUUUGACAUUUUUAAACUUUUUUUCUCUUCCUGGAAACCAUCUUUGUCCCAGCAAACUAGGUCAUGGCACACCCAUAUAACAGCAUUUUAUUCUUUAGUAAAAUGCUACUGAAUAAACAUUUUGUAUUUGUUUAUAUUAUUUCUAACUAGACUGUAAAAAGAGAGAGAGAGAGAAAGAAAAAAACACAUGAAAAUUACCAACUGCUUUAAGGCCCUGCCUUGUUCAGGGCCAAGCAUUAAUCAAUAACAAACAAGGCAGGCCAUAGAGAAAAAGGACGAUUGGCCUUUUGCAAAAAUGCUGAAUCACAGGUACGAUUGAUAGGGUUUGUGGUUGUUUUAAUGCUCAUCCUGGUUGCGCCUCACUUUAAAAAAAAAAAAAAAAAAAAAAACCUACAGCAGUACUGGUAACAAAGCUAUUUUUUUUAGAAGUAAAAUGAUGUUUAAAGAAAUGUGGAAUUCCCUUUCAUGAAAUUUCUAUUGGGAACCGUGUAUUCCUGGUUUUACUAUGGAGUAGAAAUCCCUUUUUUUUUUUUUUUUUUUUUUCAACUGGUAUUUUCAGUAAGUGAACACUCACUGUAUAUCUGACCUUGCGCCAAGGGCACACUUUAAUUUCAUAACACUAUUAGUUUCAUAACAGCGUGCUUCAUAGAUAUAAUGUAUAAAAAUACGCCUCUCUAAACAUUCAUAAUUAAUCAAAACACUAACAGAGAUAUUUACCUUAACAUUUUGUUGAAAUAAUUCUAUCAGGCCUAAACGAUGAAGAAACAGGAACGUUUUCAUUCCCAUCUUCGGAUCCUUUAACACUGGCUUUAAAGAGGGGGUUGGGUUGCAACGCCUAAAAGGAAGAAAACGACAAUAACCAUUUUUCUGCCGUCGUUUUUCGACAUAAUUCGCCAUUUAACACACCUAUCUGCGCAGUCUCCAACGAGUGGAGCUGCUGGAAAUCUUGAGGCACUUUUAGAUAUUGCAAUAUGCAAACAAUCCCUCUCUUUCUCUUCCUGAAGACAGAAUGACAAGAGAAACUCACUCGCUCUUCAUCAUUCAGAAGACAGAAACAAAUCUUUGCCGAGGUAAUGGUUUAUACGACCUUAUUUGAGCAAUAUAACGUGGAAAUAUUCUGUCGUUUUUAUAACGGGUAACAUUAAAUGUAUAUUUCAAACUUAUUUUAAACAUACAAGUAUAUAUUUUGUUAUGUGGGGGUUUAUUAUAAAUGUAAGAAAAAAGAGAUAAAGGUGUAAAAAUGAUUAUUAUAGACACCUUUCAUUGCUGACCCAUGUCCAAAGCGACCUCAGAAAUAGCCUGUUGUUUAAUGGCUUCUCUGCUGUUCUCAUUUUCAACAUGGCGUCUUCACAAGGACAUCUUUGUGGAAAAGAAAGGCUGCCGCCCGCGCCAUUUAUGGGCGAGGCUGUCGCUCGCUCUUUCAACCGAUGCUGCCUUUUUUGUACGUGGCAAUCAUUGCAAACACAAAAUGACAAGACGCGGUCAGAGGGGCUCGCCGUUUGAAAAGUGAGGAUAUUGCACAAAACUCGCAGUAAUGCCUCGCGCGUGAAACGCGCCCUCGACGCCGCUGCGCAAAAGCUCUGGAAACCCUGUGGCACUGAAACAUACACACAGCAGUAAUCUGAGAGUUUGGACGCAUGCCACGGGUCCGGGAUGUGACUGCACCCACCGAACCAUUUAAGGUCGGAGAAAGACUCUCAAACACUGUGUGGCAUUUCAAUCAGCAAGUACAAAGGGAAUAUCCAGUCCUCUGUGCUCUCUCUCGUCCCCCUUUCAAGAACAUUCGGUGCAGUUUAUUCGCCAGCCAUUGAGAGGAUAAUUUGACGUGAUGCAUGCAGGAUUGCGCACUACUUAGGUUUCUCAGGUCUUCUGCUGAAUAUGUCAUACAGUUGCAACACAUACCGGUAUGUGGUAUGCAGAUUGUCGUGUUUUGCACAAUUUAUGGCUAUGUAAUUUUUUUUUUAGUUAUUUCUAGUUUAAUCCACAUCUCUAUAAACGUGUAGAGAACGGACAUAUUUAUAUAACCCAGGCAGCAUCUCAACAUUGGAAUUUGGUCGUCGUCUUUUGUGUUUUUUUUUUUUUUUUUUUUUCUCCUCCUUUCUCUCUUUCCCUUUCUUUACGUGCGUUUGGGGCGACGCGCCAGUUCCAAUUUAUCAACCAGAACGGUAUUGCGCAAGGGAACGCGCCAUCUGUCUUUCGCUUCUUUUUCUUUUUCUUUUUUUUUUUUUUUUUAGGAUUCACGCUUGUUAUUGCAUGCACACCAAUACAAGUUUGUCUCUCUGCCAUAGUCUAAAGUAGGACUGAUGUCCGAAUAUUUCAGGGAAAAAAAAGGACUGAAGACGUGCUGACCACAUCGUUUCCUGUCGCCCAAGGCUGAAGUGGGUCAUGAGGCCAUUUUAUGGCACUCGUGUGUUUAAUUAGGAAAAUCCUCUUUAUCUUCGUAACCUGCGAACGCAAGCUGUUUCUAACGGCAGGAUAGAAGGGCAGAAAAAAGAUCUCAGUCGACACCUUCUUUUAUGUACAUAUUUAUUUUUCUAUUUAAUUUUUUUUGGUUUGUUACCUGAUACAUGCAGACGUGCGCGUAAAGCUUCGUUGGUGCUCUGGACAGCUGGAGUGGAUCCUCGACAAAUUUCGACGUUCAUCUACGCAAUUAAUCAUAUGUGCUGUUAACUGUUUUUUGUAGGUCUUGAAAGGACGUUUUUGACGCACUCUUUUAUAUGUACUAUUUUGCAUAUUUUAUAUUUUUGUGGAGGAUGGCUAGCAAUGUGUGUAGAUCGCCUGUAAUGUGCAUUUUUAAUGCCAGUCUAAUUUUCCACAAGAAAACUGAGGAAAUACUCAACUGAUCCUGACGACGGUUCGCGUCUGCCUUUCUCAUCAUGUGCAAUUAUUUUAGUUGCGUUCACUUUAAACCUUUUUCUUUCUCGUUGAAGUUCAUUGUAACGUUUAACAAUAUGGUAAGUAUGCAUACAAAGACGUUGCGCUAAAUUAGCUGCUUUUGUGCUGCAAUAAAUAUAACUAUUUUAAAUAUAAA